rnacentral:rRNA from 1 species
ACGAGCGCACCCCUGUCGUGUGUUACAAGUGUCACACGAGACUGCCGGUUUCAUGCCGGAGGAAGGAGGGGAUGACGUCAAGUCAGCAUGUCCUUUAUAUCCUGGGCUACGCACACGCUACAAUGGCCGGGACAAUGGGUAGCCAAGCCGCGAGGCGGAGCCAAUCCUCCAAACCCGGUCUCAGUUCGGAUUGCAGGCUGCAACUCGCCUGCAUGAAGUCGGAGUUGCUAGUAAACGCACGUCAGCACAGUGCGUUGAGUACGUUCCCGGGUCUUGUACACACCGCCCGUCACGUCAUGGAAGCUGGCAACACCUGAAGCCGGUGGCCUAACCCUAACGGGAGGGAGCCGUCCAAGGUGGGGUUGGUGACUGGGACGAAGUCGUAACAAGGUAGCUGUAGCGGAAGCUGCGGCUGGAUCACCUCCUUU